rnacentral:rRNA from 1 species
ACGUUAGCGGCGGACGGGUGAGUAACACGUGGGUAACCUACCUAUAAGACUGGGAUAACUUCGGGAAACCGGAGCUAAUACCGGAUAAUAUUUCGAACCGCAUGGUUCGAUAGUGAAAGAUGGUUUUGCUAUCACUUAUAGAUGGACCCGCACCGUAUUAGCUAGUUGGUAAGGUAACGGCUUACCAAGGCGACGAUACGUAGCCGACCUGAGAGGGUGAUCUGCCACACUGGAACUUAGACACGGUCCAGACUCCUACGGGAGGCAGCAGGA